UACAGAGGUCCCGAGCGUUGUUCGGAUUCAUUGGGCGUAAAGGGUGCGUAGGCGGCGCGGUAAGUCGGCUGUGAAAUCUCGGAGCUUAACUCCGAAACUGCAUUCGAUACUGCCGUGCUUGAGGACUGGAGAGGAGACUGGAAUUUACGGUGUAGCGGUGAAAUGCGUAGAUAUCGUAAGGAAGACCAGUGGCGAAGGCGGGUCUCUGGACAGUUCCUGACGCUGAGGCACGAAGGCCAGGGGAGCAAACGGG
rnacentral:rRNA from 1 species